GGUGGUCAGGUAGAGAAUACCAAGGCGCUUGAGAGAACUCGGGUGAAGGAACUAGGCAAAAUGGUGCCGUAACUUCGGGAGAAGGCACGCUGAUAGGUAGGUGAAGUCCCUGCGGACGGAGCUGAAAUCAGUCGAAGAUACCAGCUGGCUGCAACUGUUUAUUAAAAACACAGCACUGUGCAAACACGAAAGUGGACGUAUACGGUGUGAC
rnacentral:rRNA from 1 species